CCCAGUGCAGCAGUGAUGUCAUCAUCAGUCUGGCCCUGGGAACCUGCAUUGUUAGCUCCGCAAAUAGAGAAAUCCCUACUCAAGCAUCGCAAAUGAGGGCAGGGGGAGAGCCUGUGGAGAGCCCCGGAUGGGGACUGUUGGCUCCCUCCCUCUCUUUGAGUUGUCAGCAGAUGAAUUCAGCAGGGAACAAAAGGAGCUGCAGCUGGUGGGAGAGAGGGAAAAGGGAGAGAAGCCCGAAUUCUGAUGGGAGAUGGGAAGCGGCGGGGGUGCUGAAGAGCCCCUCAGAGGAGGGGAAUGUGCCACCAGAAAGAGAGGGGAAAGACCCUAACGGUGUCCCCAGAAUGGGAGGUUCCAAGAUCUGAGACAGGGGAGGGAGCACUGCCGACCAACCAAGGAGCAAUUAAACCAUCCCAGCUGUCACUCGGUCUGUCUGUCUUGCCAGCCAGCCAGUCAUCACAGAGAAAGAGAUUGCAUGUUCCUCCCUCCUAUUCCUCCCAACUCCCCAAGAAGUCCUUUAGUUGCAAUGGCAGCAUCGAGUCUCACUGGCAUGGUGGCAAACAAUGGCAUCAUCUCAAACAGAAAUGGCAGGGGGAUAUGCAUGAAUCAGGCAGCUUGACAUCAAGUUCCUAAGCAAAAGUAGGAAUUGGAUGGUGCCAAAGGAGGAGUUGGCAUCUCAAAGAGGCCACUGAAAAGAUCAAAUGUCUAACUGAUCAAACAAUGCCAAAUGAAUGUAGCAUGGCUAAUUAGUAGCCUUGUAAUAAGCCAUUUAUGCCCCAAUGAAGCUUGAAUAUUAGUUUCAAGGCUGGCUGUACUGGUAGUAAUAAGUUAGGCUCCUGAAUUCUGUUCUAACCCUUCUAUAAGGCAUGUUAUGAUUCCCUUACAUUUAACAUUCCUCUCUCUUUGUAAGAAUAAACUACCUAUACCAUACUUGAUUCA
rnacentral:lncRNA from 1 species